AUGGCAACCCUUCCUGGAAGGAUUCUGGCUGGUGUGGGGCUGACUGAAGAAGAAGAGGAGUCACCUGAGCUGGGAGUGGCCAGAAGGCUCCCUGGCCCCUUUACAAAUACAGGAGGACAGAUCUUUGCCUUCUGCUCUUCUCCGUAUGAAGGACAGGUGAUGAUAAAAGCCACAGAAUCUUGUUAUGCCAUUAUGUCCAGCAUUAAAGCGUCUGUCCUUGUAAUGUGAACACCAGUACCUCUCUGAGGUGAGGAUAUCAGCUCAGCAAAGUGAGAUUAACACCAAAAUGUGUGUCACAAGCUCAGAGUGCAUCAACCUUUUCCAAAAACUGAAGUAUCUCAUGAAGCCCAGAAGUGGGGGAUCUGUUGAGUAACCAGCAGCAGAGGUGAAAGAUCAAGUUUUAGUACCAAUUACUUGGUUUCCCGUGUGCCUCUCCUUAAUAAGUCUAUGAGAGACUGAUUUAAAACAGCCACCACACUGACACAUAAGAGCUACAUCUAAGGAGAGAGAAAAGAGUAGUUCAACUGUUUGUAUCUUCUUUCCAGAGCUGGGAGAGCUGACAGAGGCUGAGUGUGUCUGAUCACUUCUAUUACCAGAAACAUGACCUGUCAUUUUUGCUGGGAUUACAAAGGUAACUAACGUGAUUCUGUAUCUUACAUGCUUGAAAAUAUGUUUUGAAAAAUAUGCUUGGUAUCUCUCAUCUCCUUUCUAGCAUACAGAGUUAGCAUAAAUAUGAAGUCUUAGGUAAGCAAUGAAUUUUGAUGAAAAUUCUCCAUCUAGAAAGAGGGAAAAGGCAGAAAAAUAUUCAAGAAAUAGUUAUAGUGACAUUUUGAUUUUGAAGCUCAGGAUAUCAGAGGACAUCAAUGAUCUUCAAAUACUGAAAUGAAAAACUUUGGGCACACAGAAUUCAUUAAUAUUUUCUUUGUGAAGCCUCCAAUUGAUAGGUCUUUAGUACUUGGCCAUUUUAAUUUACAUAGUGUGCUUGUUGGGGCUGUCCUGUGCAGGGCCAAGAGUUGGACUUGAUGAAUCUUUGUGGAUCCUUUCAACUCAGAAGAUUCUGUGAUUCUGUAAUUUGUACUGUUUUUAUUAUAAACAGGAAUGUAAGGUACUUUUCAGAUUAAAAAGCAGAAUCUGUACCCUAAAGGCAUAGUUUCACAGAUUUUCACCAAACAUUAGCAGAGUUGUUGCUGAGUUCCUCUGAAGAUCAACAUUUACUAGUAAAUAGUGU
rnacentral:lncRNA from 1 species